rnacentral:misc_RNA from 1 species
GUCUAAUUAAACUUUAUUACGCCAAUGGCCCAAGGCCCAAUCAAGAAACCUUAGAGCUAAUUGAAGGAGAAAGAGAGAGGGUUAAGCAGUGUCACCACCCUCUCCCACUCAUCCUUCGCUAAAGAAGGCUUUUCGAGUUAUACUAGGAACUCUAGCAACAACUUUUGCACUCAAGAAAACAUCCCUGCAAGGAAACAAAGGAAGGCCCCCACAAGAUAAGAAAUCACCGAAUCUAGUGAUUCAUAAGAGAGUCAACGAUCAGAGCUCCUAUAACUUUAGGGCUUUCAAGGAACAAGCAAUCAAGUAAGAAACUGGCUAUGGGUCCCCAAAGAUGGUCUUCCUCACGGCCUAAAACUGAAAUGCACCCUCCCAUUAGUUGAGAAACAAAGAGCUCAAGGCAUCUCUGUGUAGCAGACCCACCGCAUGCCAGAAGAACCUUUAAGGAGAAGAUUCACCCCUACAUGUAACUCAAACACUGAUACUUGGAAGACAGAGAACACUAAUAGAUCUUCAUUGCAGGUCUCAAGAUUACCUUCACCAUGAAAACAACAGCCCGAAAGCCGAAAACUUAACCCAAAAAACCCAUUUACUGUCCCACCUACAGGAGGGGAAGGAAACCCACAUUCAGGUAGGGUAUGGAGAGUCACCCCUCAGUCGAGAAGGGUAGAGGACAGUCAUUAGAAUCGAUACCACAAGAGACCCUAGCCUCAAAAAACCAACCAUUCAAGAAAGAAAACUUCCCAUCAUAGUCAAUAAACUGACCCUUAUGGGCUAAAGCAUCAGAAUAAAGAUUGUCUUGUGCACCUUGUGGCGAAUAAUACACUGAUUUGAUAGCCACUAUUGAAUUUGAUAAAUUGCUAACAGUUAGCCUUCCUCCCAGCUAAUCAAAGCCCACAUCUGAUGGCAUGUAG